rnacentral:rRNA from 1 species
GUCUACGGCCAUACCACCCUGAACAAGCCCUGAUCUCAAAAGCUAAGCAAGGUCGGGCCUGGUUAGUACUUGGAUGAGAGACCACCUAGGAAGACCAGGUGCUGUAGGUA